AGAACGGACGCUGGCGGCAGGCCUAAAACAUGCAAGUCGAACGCUCUAGCAAUAGAGAGUGGCGCACGGGUGCGUAACAUGUGGGAAUAUGCCUUUUGGUACGGAACAACUUUUGGAAACGAAAGCUAAUACCGUAUGGUCCCUUCGGGGUAAAGAUUUAUCGCCAAAAGAGUAGCCCGCACUGGAUUAGCUAGUUGGUAAGGUAAUGGCUUACCAAGGCGACGAUCCAUAGCUGGUCUGAGAGGACGAUCAGCCACACUGGGACUGAGACACGGCCCAGACUCCUACGGGAGGCAGCAGUUAGGAAUCUUGGACAAUGGGCGCAAGCCUGAUCCAGCCAUGCCGCGUGAGUGAUGAAGGCCUUCGGGUUGUAAAGCUCUUUAGUCCACGAAUAUAAUGACUGUAGUGGAAGAAUAAGCCCCGGCUAACUUCGUGCCAGCAGCCGC
rnacentral:rRNA from 1 species